rnacentral:pre_miRNA from 1 species
AGUGUGAUUGCUGGACUGUAGGGUAAGAAUAUAUUUAGCUUUUUUAAAGAAACUGCCAAACUAUCUUUUAAAGUGUCUGCACCAUUUUGCCUUCCAACCAGCAAU